GAUGAACGCUGACAGAAUGCUUAACACAUGCAAGUCUACUUGAUUCUACUUCGGUAGUUGAUGGUGGCGGACGGGUGAGUAACGCGUAAAGAAUCUGCCCUUUAGUUUGGGAUAACCUUUGGAAACGAAGGCUAAUACCGGAUAUUAUGGAGACGUCGCAUGGCGACUCCAUGAAAGCUAUAUGCGCUAGAGGAGGACUUUGCGUCCCAUUAGUUAGUUGGUGAGGUAAUGGCUCACCAAGACCGCGAUGGGUAGCCGGCCUGAGAGGGUGAUCGGCCACAAGGGAACUGAGACACGGUCCUUACUCCUACGGGAGGCAGCAGUGGGGAAUAUUGGACAAUGGGCCACAAGCCUGAUCCAGCAAUUCUGUGUGCACGAUGAAGGUCUUCGGAUUGUAAAGUGCUUUCAGUAGGGAAGAAAAAAAUGACGGUACCUACAGAAGAAGCGACGGCUAAAUAUGUGCCAGCAGCCGCCGUAA
rnacentral:rRNA from 1 species